GUUAAAAUAAUUUAUAUAAAAUGUUGGUUUUGUAAACCAAAUUAGAAAAUUUCUUUUAAUU
rnacentral:tRNA from 1 species